rnacentral:rRNA from 1 species
GACGAACGCUGGCGGCGUGCUUAACACAUGCAAGUCGAACGGAAAGGCCCUGCUUUUGUGGGGUGCUCGAGUGGCGAACGGGUGAGUAACACGUGAGUAACCUGCCCUUGACUUUGGGAUAACUUCAGGAAACUGGGGCUAAUACCGGAUAUGAUCUCCUGCUGCAUGGUGGGGGUUGGAAAGUUUCGGCGGUUGGGGAUGGACUCGCGGCUUAUCAGCUUGUUGGUGGGGUAGUGGCUUACCAAGGCUUUGACGGGUAGCCGGCCUGAGAGGGUGACCGGCCACAUUGGGACUGCGAUACGGACCAGACUCCUACGGGAGGCAGCAGUGGGGAAUAUUGCACAGUGGGCGGAAGCCUGAUGCAGAAACGCCGCGUGCGGGAUGACGGCCUUCGGGUUGUAAACAGAUUUCGCCUGUGACGAAGCGUGAGUGACGGUAAUGGGUAAAGAAGCACCGGCUAACUACGUG